rnacentral:rRNA from 1 species
UACGUAGGGUGCGAGCGUUAAUCGGAAUUACUGGGCGUAAAGCGUGCGCAGGCGGUUCUCCAAGUCCGUUGUGAAAGCCCCGGGCUCAACCUGGGAAUGGCAGUGGAAACUGGGGGACUGGAAUCUGGCAGAGGGGGGUGGAAUGCCGCGUGUAGCAGUGAAAUGCGUAGAGAUGCGGCGGAACACCGAUGGCGAAGGCAGCCCCCUGGGCUGAGAUUGACGCUCAGGCACGAAAGCGUGGGGAGCAAACAGG